rnacentral:SRP_RNA from 1 species
GCCAGGUGUGGUGGCUUAUGCCUGUAGUCCCAACUACUUGGGAGGCUGAGGUGGGAGGAUCACUUGAGCCUGGGAGAUCGAGGCUGCAGUGAGCCAUGAUUGUGCCACUGCACUCCAGCCUGGGUGACAGAGUGAGACCCUGUCUCAA